rnacentral:tRNA from 1 species
AGUUAAAUGGCCGAGAAAACAGGCAUUAAAUUGUAAAUUUAAUUACGGGCUAGCCCUUUAACUA